CGAUAGACGGGAGAAAUCGUUUGAGUUGGAAGUUAACAGAGAGGGUUCAAUGGAGAGAAGGAAUUCGCGUAAGAGGAAAGAUAGAGGAGAGAAUGUGGAUAAGAGGAAUGUCGAUGAGAAGAGAGCUAGGGAUUCGGAGGUUAAGAAGGAUAACCUGAGAGUUGGCGAUGUGAAGUUGAUGGAUAAGGAAGAUGUGGAAAUCGAUGAAGAAAAGAAGGGAAAAGGAUGUGAAAUGAGAACUGUGAAGGAAGAACCGAAACCGGAGCCCUAUGACGAUGGACAGGAUGUUGAUACCAUUGAUACUAGUGUAGCAAUGGGAUCAUUCAGUGCAGCAUCAAGGACUUCCCCUGAUAAACCUUUGACUCUUAGUGAUUCUCCUGCUACCAAG
rnacentral:misc_RNA from 1 species